GGUGCCCCUGGAGGCCCAGCCCAGCCCAGCCCUCUGCCCACCUCCAGGUGUGAGAACUGCCUCCUGCGCUUCCGCACGCACCGCUCGCUCUUCAAGCACCUGCAUGUUUGCGCGGAGCAUGCGCAGAGCCCAGCCCCGCCGCCACCCCCGGCCCUGGACCGAGAGCCGCCCGCGCCGGAGCGCCCCCCGGAGGUUGACCCCGCAUCAGCGCCGGGCCUGCCGUUCCCGCUGCUGGAACCCUUCACGACCCCCGCCCCUGCCCCCACCGGACCGUUCCUGCCCUACUUGAACCCUGCGCCCUUUGGCCUAAGCCCCCCGCGCCUGCGCCCCUUCCUGGCCGCUGCACCCGGGCCGCCGGCUUCCAGCGCCGCCGUCUGGAAAAAGAGCCAAGGUGCUGGCAGCAGCCCCCGAAGACCCCAGGGCGGCUCCGACGCGCCCUCAGG
rnacentral:lncRNA from 1 species